GUGCACGCUGGCGGUAGGCCUAACCCCUGCCAGUCGAACGGCAGCACCGUAAGAGCUUGCUCUUACGGGUGGCGAGUGGCGGACGGGUGAGGAAUACAUCGGAAUCUACUUUUUCGUGGGGGAUAACGUAGGGAAACUUACGCUAAUACCGCAUACGACCUACGGGUGAAAGCAGGGGAUCUUCGGACCUUGCGCGAUUGAAUGAGCCGGUGUCGGAUUAGCUAGUUGGCGGGGUAAAGGCCCACCAAGGCGACGAUCCGUAGCUGGUCUGAGAGGAUGAUCAGCCACACUGGAACUGAGACACGGUCCAGACUCCUACGGGAGGCAGCAGUGGGGAAUAUUGGACAAUGGGAGCAAGCCUGAUCCAGCCAUACCGCGUGGGUGAAGAAGGCCUUCGGGUUGUAAAGCCCUUUUGUUGGGAAAGAAAAGCAGCAGGUUAAUACCCCGCUGUUCUGACGGUACCCAAAGAAUAAGCACCGGCUAACUUCGUG
rnacentral:rRNA from 1 species